rnacentral:lncRNA from 1 species
GCACACCUGGGCUCACCUGGGCUCACCUGGGCACACCUGGGCUCACCUGAGGCACACCUGGGGCACACCUGGCCACACCUGGGGCACACCUGGGCUCACCUGGGCUCACCUGGGCUCACCUGGGCUCACCUGGGCACACCUGGGCUCACCUGGCAGGCGCGGAGCUGAGCCUGGGCCCCGCGGCCUGGGGCGACAGCGGCCUCUACCUGUGCACGGUGACCUCGACCAGCGACCUGCAGGGCAACAACGAGGCCGUGGCCGAGCUGCUGGUGCUGGGUGAGACUGGGAGGGACUGGGAGGGACUGGGAGGGACUGGGAGGGACUGGGAGGGACUGGGAGGGACUGGGAGGGAACUGGGAGCGGGUCUGGGCUUACUGGGAUGGACUGGGAAAGGGUUAAAGGGGGUCUGGGGUUACUGGUUUGGACUGGGAGGGACUGGGAGGGGGUCUGGGGUUACUGGUUUGGACUGGGAGGGACUGGGAGCGGGUCUGGGGUUACUGGUUUGGACUGGGAGGGACUGGGAGCGGGUCUGGGGUUACUGGUUUGUACUGGGAAAGGGUUAAAGGGGGUUUGGGGUUACUGGUUUGGACUGGGAGGGACUGGGAAAGGGUCUGGGGUUACUGGUUUGUACUGGGAAAGGGUUAAAGGGGGUUUGGGGUUACUGGUUUGGACUGGGAGGGACUGGGAGGGGCUGGGAGGGGGUCUGGGGUUACUGGUCCAUACUGGUUUGUACUGGUUUGUACUGGUUUGGGGCUGGGGUUACUGGUUUAUACUGGUUUGUACUGGUUUGGGGCGGGGGUCACUGGUCUGUACUGGUUUGGGGCGGGGGUUACUGGUCCAUACUGGUUUGUACUGGUUUGUACUGGUUUGGGGCGGGGGUUACUGGUUUAUACUGGGAGCACUGGGCCCCUCCCCCGUGUCCCCCCAGGGUCUCUUCCCGAGGGCUCCCGGCUGCUGCCCGAGGGGACCCUGCCAGGUACGGGCACAGCUGGGCACACCUGGGGCACACCUGGGGGCACACCUGGGGGCACCUGGGCACAGCUGGGCACACCUGGGAGCACCUGGGGGCACCUGGGUGGGAAAAUUGGGGGGAAAUGAAGAAAAU